rnacentral:rRNA from 1 species
UACGUAGGGUGCGAGCGUUAAUCGGAAUUACUGGGCGUAAAGCGUGCGCAGGCGGUUUUGUAAGCCAGAUGUGAAAUCCCCGGGCUUAACCUGGGAAUGGCAUUUGGGACUGCAAGGCUGGAGUGCGGCAGAGGAGACUGGAAUUCCUGGUGUAGCAGUGAAAUGCGCAGAUAUCAGGAAGAACACCUAUGGCGAAGGCAGCUCUCUGGGACGGUACUGACGCUGAGACGCGAAAGCGUGGGGAGCGAACAGG